rnacentral:rRNA from 1 species
CAGCAGCCGCGGUAAUACGAACCGUGCGAACGUUAUUCGGAAUCACUGGGCUUAAAGCGCGUGUAGGCGGGACGGUGCGUCGGCCGCUGAAAUCCCCUGGCUCAACCGGGGAACGGGCGCCGAUACGGCCGUCCUGGAGGGAGGUAGGGGGAGCUGGAACUUCCGGUGUAGCAGUGAAAUGCGUAGAGAUCGGAAGGAACAUCUGUGGCGAAGGCGACUAUCUGGGCCAACACUGACACUGAGGCACGAAAGCGUGGGGAGCAAACAGGAUUAGAUACCCCAGUAGUCCCUGUCUCUUAUA